GUCCGAGUCUGAUACAGGUAUGUCAUCGUGCCCCAUGUGCAGUGUUGGUGCCCAGUCUGGAUUUGUUACAUCCAUUUCAUAUGCUGGUUUGCCUGCAAUAAUGCCAAAUCAUAAGCUACU